rnacentral:rRNA from 1 species
CCUACGGGAGGCAGCAGUGGGGAAUAUUGCACAAUGGGGGAAACCCUGAUGCAGCGACGCCGCGUGAGCGAGGAAGUAUUUCGGUAUGUAAAGCUCUAUCAGCAGGGACGAAAAAAGACGGUACCUGACUAAGAAGCCCCGGCUAACUACGUGCCAGCAGCCGCGGUAAUACGUAGGGGGCAAGCGUUAUCCGGAUUUACUGGGUGUAAAGGGAGCGUAGACGGCAAGGCAAGCCAGAAGUGAAAGGGCAGGGCUCAACCCCCGAACUGCAUUUGAAACUGUUGGUCUUGAGUAUCGGAGAGGCAGGCGGAAUUCCUAGUGUAGCGGUGAAAUGCGUAGAUAUUAGGAGGAACACCAGUGGCGAAGGCGGCCUGCUGGACGACAACUGACGGUGAGGCGCGAAAGCGUGGGGAGCAAACAGGAGUAGAUACCCCUGUAGUC